CCUACGGGUGACAGCAGUGAGGAAUAUUGGUCAAUGGACGCAAGUCUGAACCAGCCAUGCCGCGUGCAGGAAGACGGCUCUAUGAGUUGUAAACUGCUUUUGUACGAGGGUAAACUCAGAUACGCGUAUCUUUUUGAAAGUAUCGUACGAAUAAGGAUCGGCUAACUCCGUGCCAGCAGCCGCGGUAAUACGGAGGAUUCAAGCGUUAUCCGGAUUUAUUGGGUUUAAAGGGUGCGUAGGCGGUCGGAUAAGUUAGAGGUGAAAUCCCGCGGCUCAACUUCGGAAUUGCCUCUGAUACUGUUCGGCUAGAGAGUAGUUGCGGUAGGCGGAAUGUAUGGUGUAGCGGUGAAAUGCUUAGAGAUCAUACAGAACACCGAUUGCGAAGGCAGCUUACCAAGCUACUUCUGACGUUGAGGCACGAAAGCGUGGGUAGCAAACAGGAUUAGAUACCCCUGUAGUC
rnacentral:rRNA from 1 species